UACGAAGGGUGCAAACGUUGCUCGGAAUUAUUGGGCGUAAAGCGCACGUAGGCGGAUUGCUAAGUCAGGGGUGAAAUCCUGGAGCUCAACUCCAGAACUGCCUUUGAUACUGGUGAUCUUGAGUCCGGGAGAGGUAAGUGGAACUGCGAGUGUAGAGGUGAAAUUCGUAGAUAUUCGCAAGAACACCAGUGGCGAAGGCGGCUCACUGGCCCGGUACUGACGCUGAGGUGCGAAAGCGUGGGGAGCAACAGGG
rnacentral:rRNA from 1 species